GAUGAAGAACGUAGCGAAAUGCGAUACCUAAUGUGAAUUGCAGAAUUCAGUGAAUCAUCGAAUCUUUGAACGCAUAUUGCGCUCUCUGGUAUUACGGAGAGCAUGCUUGUUUGAGUAUCAGUAAACACCUCAACUUCCAUAUCUUUUUUGAAAUGGGAGUUGGACUUGAGUGAUCCCAACGCUUUUCCUCACCGAAAAGUGGCGGGUUACUUGAAAUGCAGGUGCAGCUGGACUUUUCUCUGAGCUAUAAGCAUAUCUAUUUAGUCUGCCUAAAAAACAGAUUAUUACCUUUGCUGCAGCUAACAUAAAGGAGAUUAGUUCUUGUGCUGACUGAUGCAGGAUUCACAAAGACGGCUUCGGCCGACUUUGUAAACUCGAUCUCAAAUCAAGUAAGACUACCCGCUGAACUUAAGCAUAUCAAUAAGCGGAGGA
rnacentral:misc_RNA from 1 species